rnacentral:rRNA from 1 species
GAACCGUACAAACGUUAUUCGGAAUCACUGGGCUUAAAGGGUGCGUAGGCGGCCAUGUAAGUGAGGUGUGAAAUCCCUCGGCUCAACCGAGGAACUGCGCUUCAUACUGCAUGGCUUGAGGGAGACAGGGGUAAGCGGAACUGAUGGUGGAGCGGUGAAAUGCGUUGAUAUCAUCAGGAACACCGGUGGCGAAAGCGGCUUACUGGGUCUCUUCUGACGCUGAGGUACGAAAGCUAGGGUAGCGAACGGGAUUAGAUACCCCGGUAGUCCUAGCUGUAAACGAUGAGCACUUGUCUGGGGAUCCUCCCAUAGGUUCCCGGACGUAGCGAAAGUGUUAAGUGCUCCGCCUGGGGAGUAUGGUCGCAAGGCUGAA